AUUGAACGCUGGCGGCAGGCCUAACACAUGCAAGUCGAGCGGAUGAAGGGAGCUUGCUCCUGUAUUCAGCGGCGGACGGGUGAGUAAUGCCUAGGAAUCUGCCUGGUAGUGGGGGAUAACGUCCGGAAACGGGCGCUAAUACCGCAUACGUCCUGAGGGAGAAAGUUGGGGAUCUUCUGACCUCACGCUAUCAGAUGAUCCUAGGUCGGAUUAGCUAGUUGGUUGGGUAAAGGCCUACCAAGGCGACGAUCCGUAACUGGUCUGAGAGGAUGAUCAGUCACACUGGAACUGAGACACGGUCCAGACUACUACGGGAGGCAGCAGUGGGGAAUAUUGGACAAUGGGCGAAAGCCUGAUCCAGCAAUGCCGCGUGUGUGAAGAAGGUCUUCGGAUUGUAAAGCACUUUAAGUUGGGAGGAAGGGAAGUAAGUUAAUACCUUGAUGUUUUGACGUUACCAACAGAAUAAGCACCGGCUAACUUCGUG
rnacentral:rRNA from 1 species